CGGACGGGUGAGUAACGCGUGGAGAACCUGCCGUAUACUGGGGGAUAACACUUAGAAAUAGGUGCUAAUACCGCAUAAGCGCACAGCUUCGCAUGAAGCAGUGUGAAAAACUCCGGUGGUAUACGAUGGAUCCGCGUCUGAUUAGCUGGUUGGCGGGGUAACAGCCCACCAAGGCGACGAUCAGUAGCCGGUCUGAGAGGGUGAACGGCCACAUUGGGACUGAGACACGGCCCAAACUCCUACGGGAGGCAGCAG
rnacentral:rRNA from 1 species